AAAAUGUUGUGGACUUUUUGUUGAAGAACCCCUUUCAUUCUCUGGCGUACACGGAAAAGGUGCGAAUUAAAAGCGAGGGUCGACCGCUGCCUGAGAUCAGUUUCAUGAAGAAAGAUGAAAAGAAGUGAUGACUACUCCACUCUACUACCUUUGUCAAAUUUCUCCUGACAUGAACUGAAGCCAUGUCUCAUGUGCCCGCACAUCCACUGGCACAUUGAAUGUUUCCCCUCCCAAGUACUUCAAAUCCUGUCCUGCGCUGGUCAAGCCUUUGAACACCUCAACUCAGGCCCUCAUUCAAUCACUGCUGUGAUCCCUUUCCAACACUAAGUAGCCCUCGCAUUCCUAUUCCCCAUAAUAUGGUACUAUAAAUAUCUUUAUUAAA